rnacentral:rRNA from 1 species
GAUGAACGCUGGCGGCGUGCCUAAUACAUGCAAGUCGAACGAAACUUCUUUAUCACCGAGUGCUUGCACUCACCGAUAAAGAGUUGAGUGGCGAACGGGUGAGUAACACGUGGGCAACCUGCCCAAAAGAGGGGGAUAACACUUGGAAACAGGUGCUAAUACCGCAUAACCAUAGUUACCGCAUGGUAACUAUGUAAAAGGUGGCUAUACUACCGCUUUUGGAUGGGCCCGCGGCGCAUUAGCUAGUUGGUAGGGUAAAGGCUUACCAAGGCAAUGAUGCGUAGCCGAAUUGAGAGGUUGAUCGGCCACAUUGGGACUGAGACACGGCCCAAACUCCUACGGGGGGCAGCAGUAGGGAAUCUUCCACAAUGGGCGAAAGCCUGAUGGAGCAACGCCGCGUGGGUGAAGAAGGUCUUCGGAUCGUAAAACCCUGUUGUUAGAGAAGAAAGUGCGUGAGAGUAACUGUUCACGUUUCGACGGUAUCUAACCAGAGAGCCACGGCUAACUACGUG